AACUUUCUGGAUCAUGCCGAGAUUUCGUCAGGCACCAACCCAAUAGAGCUGAUGGGACUCCCGAGUUAAGUGAAGUG
rnacentral:pre_miRNA from 1 species